AGUGAACGCUGGCGGCGUGCUUAACACAUGCAAGUCGAACGAGAACGGAAUAUAGCUUGCUAUAUUUGUCAGCUAAGUGGCGCACGGGUGAGUAAUGUAUAGAUAACCUGCCCUUAAGAAAGGAAUAACAGUUGGAAACGACUGCUGAUGCCCUAUAUGCCUUUAAUACAUAAGUCUGCAAGGGAAACGCUUUAGUGCUUAAGGAUGGGUCUGUAUGGUAUCAGCUUGUUGGUGAGGUAAUGGCUCACCAAGGCUAUGACGCCUAACUGGUUUGAGAGGAUGAUCAGUCACAAUGGAACUGAGACACGGUCCAGACUCCUACGGGAGGCAGCAGUGGGGAAUAUUGCACAAUGGACGAAAGUCUGAUGCAGCAACGCCGCGUGGAGGAUGACACAUUUCGGUGCGUAAACUCCUUUUAUAUAGGAAGACAAUGACGGUACUAUAUGAAUAAGAACCGGCUAACUCCGUGCCAGCCGCCGCAGUAA
rnacentral:rRNA from 1 species